rnacentral:lncRNA from 1 species
CUGGACAGUGGCUUGCUCCUUUAGAGCACACACUGGUUUGCACUGCUUCCUGGAAACUACCUCCCUGCUAAUAAGCCUUCCCAGUAAUAAGCCUCCCUGACAAUGCGCCUCCUGACACAUGCUUCCUCAAGUCUGUGCCUCCAAACCCCAUGCCUUGACCAGAGUAGGUGUGCUCAACCUGGUUUAAGGAUUCUCCACUGCCCCUGGUUUGGGAGGAGCUGCUCACGUAAAUAAAGAGGGGAUUUUGCCACCACAAGCAUAAAUACUCACUCUCAGAACAACGAGGCACCACCAGGGAACAAAAGGUAUAACAGUCUCUGUAACCUGCUGGAUCUUGCAGCUUUAUGGGUUUUGGCAAAAAAAGGAGUUGAGGGGGAUUGCAGAAUUCACUCAGCAUGCAGCUUGCUGUCAUUACCACGGUGAUAAAUUUGCUGGUUUUGGCCUGGGUUCCUGGACACAUCCCCAUCCAGAGGUAUGGAAAAGAGAUGAAAUGGAAACAGAGAACUCCCAGCCUGAGGCCGGAGACAGUCUGGGAGGGAAGUAGGGAGCCCAGAAUGGGGCUGAAAACCAAAAGGGUAGGGGAGGGAAGGAAUGCUCUGCCUGCAGGAGUGUCCAUAAUUAGUAAUUUUUCCUUCAGUAAUUUACCACAGUACAUGCUAGAAACACCUUCUCUCCCUUUUGAUACAUUAAUUGAUGGAUUGUGGGUGGCAGCGGGGAGCAGAGCUUACAGCAAUCCACGGGAAAGCUCCAGAGGAGACGGGUGACCUUAAAUAUGACCGCGAGCAGGGUAUGUGGAGGUGGUGCUCUGUGUGGUAUAUGGGUUUUCUCUGUUACUGAGUAGUUCUAGGGAAAGUAUUAUCAUCAUGCAGAAGUGAAACUGAUUUUUUUACAUCAGUAUUCAGUCUUCUGAAUAAAACCAUUUUCCAUAAGCUUCACACUCUAUUUUGCACGCAUGCUAGUUUGAGAUUAUUCACGUGAACGCUGCUUGGCUGGCCUGGAGGAGAGCUAUUCACUUACGACUCCCUGAGUGGCUGUCUGCUGCUCCUGCAAUUUCUGGGAUGCUGUGCCUCAUUCAACAUGUUUAUGUUGCUAUCAAACAAUAAAUACUUAUCUCUCAUCUACUAUCGGUUAAGCACUAUGUUCUAAGUGCUGUGGAAUAUACACACUCGUAGAAGGCUCUAUCCUAACCUAGGAAAGUCAGUGCAGUACAGGGAUCAGCAAAUAGGUGGCCCGUGUGCUCUUUCUUUUAAGUGCUGGACCAACGGCUGGCCUUGCUCCUCCAUCAGGGAUGGUUUGCUUUCCUGCUGAGCCUGAGUUUGGCUCUUCCACACAGCACUCUGGGCAGCUAUAGCCCAUCACUUGAAGUUG